UGGGGGCUCGAACCAGGAUCCGGUCCUUGCGCUUCACGCCAUGUGGGCUUAACCCACUGUGCUACCGCCUGGCCCCUAGAAAUCAAUACAUUUUACUGUCCAAAAUCAAUCAAAACAGAUUGCACACCAAUACCUACCAUCGUAUAAUGACUAUGUUGACUAUCAGUGUCUCUAAUAAUACUUCCAAAUAAACCUCUUUUUAAAGAACCUCUGAGAUUGCCUAUUUGUGUUUUGUCCAAAUGAAAGGUCAGAUCUGAGGUAGCCUGAGUAAAGCACAGUUAAGACUAAAGUCAAGUCUUGAAAUCUGAGUGGUAGUGGGGAAGGCUAGCAUGGAAUCUUAAAUCCUACUUUACAAUAAUUCAAAAAGGAAACAGGAAUUCUUUCAGGUGACAAGAGAACCCUUAGUACCACUUAAAAACCUCUAGCUCAUAGUGGCAAAACUAAGCAACCCUAGGUCUGAAGAAGCUUGUGGAGUUUUUAUCUCCUAAAGGGAAGACUUUUAUCAAUAAACAAAAUAAAACAAAGAAAAAAAAUCCUAGUUCAGAGGAAUUAGAAGAAAUGCAAAACAAGUUUCCUAGCUUCUCAACAGAUAAAGAAAGGCAGUUUCAUAAGCUGUCCCAAUUGAUCAAACACAUCAGCACAUUUAAGCAAACCUGGGAUAGUGUAACUAACCAAUCUCUCUUUAGAAACUAUCCUUGGGGCCAGUUGGUGAUGCACCUGGUUGAGCGCACAUUAUAUUACACAAGGACCCCGUUCGAGCCCUGGGCCCCAUCUACAAGGGGAAAGGUUUGCAAGUGGUUUUACAGUGUUGCAGGUGUCUCUCUCUUUUUUUUUUUUUUCUCUAUUUCCCACUUCCUCUCAAUUUCUGACUUUCUCUAUUCAAUAAAUAAAUAAAAUUUUAAAAAAUUACCCUUCAGAGUAAGAGGAGUUAAAAUAUUACUGUUGCAUCCUGUAAAAAAAUCAUAAGCAGGGAGUCGGGCUGUAGCGCAGCAGGUUAAGCGCAGGUGGCGCAAAGCACAAGGACCGGCAUAAGGAUCCCGUUUGAACCCCGGCUCCCCACCUGCAGGGGAGUCGCUUCACAGGCGGUGAAGCAGGUCUGCAGGUGUCUAUCUUUCUCUCCUCCUCUCUGUCUUCCCCUCCUCUCUCCAUUUCUCUCUGUCCUAUCCAACAACAACAACAACAAUAAUAACCACAACAAUAAAACAACAAGGGCAACAAAAGGGAAUAAAUAAAUAAAUAUAAAAAAA